CUACGGGAGGCUGCAGUGAGGAAUAUUGCACAAUGGAGGAAACUCUGAUGCAGCAACGCCGCGUGGAGGAUGACACUUUUCGGAGCGUAAACUCCUUUUAUAUAGGAAGAAGAUGACGGUACUAUAUGAAUAAGCGCCGGCUAACUCCGUGCCAGCAGCCGCGGUAAUACGGAGGGCGCAAGCGUUACUCGGAAUCACUGGGCGUAAAGAGCGUGUAGGCGGAUUAAAAAGUCAGAAGUGAAAUCCUAUAGCUUAACUAUAGAACUGCUUCUGAAACUCUUAAUCUAGAAUAUGGGAGAGGUAGAUGGAAUUUCUGGUGUAGGGGUAAAAUCCGUAGAGAUCAGAAGGAAUACCGAUUGCGAAGGCGAUCUACUAGAACAUUAUUGACGCUGAGACGCGAAAGCGUGGGGAGCAAACAGGAUUAGAUACCCUAGUAGUC
rnacentral:rRNA from 1 species